GAACCUGCCAGUGCCAGUGUGUGUAGGAUGACAGCAGGCAUAGCGCUUCAAUAGGAAAAUAUUGUCAAGAUGGCUCGCUGCAACAGCCAAGGAACAGACUGAAGACUACUGUUGCAAUCUCAGCUUUUAAAGAUUGGAUGUGGCAACCUGGGACCAUUAGAGAACGAAAACUGACUGCAAAGGAAGCGAAGGCUCAGGCGCUCCAGCUGCUCUGGGCCAAGCUCUUCAUACCCGCUCUGGAGGGAGGACAUGUAGGCAGGGGGGACUGAGCCACCAGGUUCCCGACCAGAUGCCCUUGUAAAUUCAUGGGUCAUGGAGUUUGGUCCAGAGA